UUGAAAAUCUUCAUUCUCAUCAAUUCCUAUU
rnacentral:piRNA from 1 species